rnacentral:rRNA from 1 species
UACGGAGGGUGCAAGCGUUAUCCGGAUUCACUGGGUUUAAAGGGUGCGUAGGCGGGCUGGUAAGUCAGGGGUGAAAUCCCGGAGCUCAACUCCGGAACUGCCUUUGAUACUACUGGUCUUGAAUAUUGUUGAGGUGGGCGGAAUGUGUCAUGUAGCGGUGAAAUGCAUAGAUAUGACACAGAACACCGAUUGCGAAGGCAGCUCACUGGGCAAUGAUUGACGCUGAGGCACGAAAGCGUGGGGAUCAAACAGG